CUGCAAUUCCUGGCCAAUCUGGUUUCAUAUCUAUUUCAAAGUCAAAUGGUAUCAAAUUACACAAAUGACGUGGGUAAAAAUCAAUAACUGUGUAAUUAGUGCUACUAACAAAAAACCUCAAUGAAUAUAAGUUCAGUUAAUUCAAGAUCCAGGUCUAGGUUUCACUAUUUCACAAUCUACAUUAAAAGGAUUGAUAAAUGAAACAGCAUUGACUAUACAGUAUCCACAAAAUAGACUAUAUAAAUGUGUUAUGAUGAAAUGUGUUAUAAUCUAGUCUGGAAGUAAAAUCUAGACGACUGCAUGCAUUUAUUUAUUUCAUCUCUGGUAAUGCCUCUGAUUUUAAAAAAGUACUAGAGGAAAAUAUUGCAGUUAUAUAGUGUGAAGUAUACUUGUCUAUCAAGAUGAUAGCUAGCUCUGUUUUGUUCCACCUGCUGGUGUAGAUACUGCCUUUAAAGAAGUACACAAACAUACAACUUAGGGGAAGGAUGGCUCCAUGCAUCCAGCUGUCUGAUGUUGAUCCCCACCAGAAGAUCUACUAGUACACCAAUCACUUUGGCAGAGAACUAGAUUACACUGAAAACAGGAUUCUUUAUAUAAAGCUGGACAAAGCAUGGCUGCAAACAAGUCUAGCUCAAAAAAAUAAUAAUUUUGGUAGCUAUGUUCUCAACCUGUGGCAAUAGGCUACUGAUACAGUUUCUAUCAAUGGGCCAGUAUUAGUCAUGGGCCCAAGCACAAUGAGGCCCUUUAUUCCAAAGUUGUUACACCACUGCCCAGGUUUAGUCCAACAUUAAAGUAAAAGCAUUUGGUCACAAUAAACAGAUGCCCAAUGAAACCAUUAAACUAUUCAAGAAUAAUAUAAUAAAAAGCAUGAAAGGACUAAAAUAUUUCUUGAAUACAAAAAAUCAAAUAUUAAUCUUUAUUCUUAUUGAAAAGCAUUGAGUCAAAUCUAUUCUUACUUCCUACAACAUAGAAUCCAAACA